ACUGUGAGGGAGGGAACGGCGGCCACAGGCCGCGGCGCGGGCCGAGGAGACCCGGCGACUCGAAGCUGGCGACGACGCGCGGCCCUACCUGGCCAACUCCCGCAGGGCGGGGAUCAUGGACGCCAGCUCCAGCCCGUGGUCGCCCAUGGUGACACCGAGCGGCUCUCAAAACAGCCGCCGCCGGCGCCGGGCUUCUCCACAGCCGCCUCCGGUGGAGAGGGCGGAGCGUCGACGGAGCCCCGCGAGGUCCAAAAUUCUCCUCCCGGAAGCCGCUCUCGGUUGCGGUUGGAACCCUGGGGAAAUCCCAGAGGCGACAGGGGCGGAGCCGACAGCGGACGUGCCCGCCCACUUUCCCUCCCAGGCGAUGCUUGUGGAUCAAGAUGUAAGCACUCAGCUAAUUCACCAGCGCCAUGCCUGCCUGCCUGUCGCUUUGGUCUCUGCCAUAAUAGUCAUGGAUUCCAACCCUCUGAAACUGUAAGCAAACCCCCAAUAAACUGUUAAUCUCU
ensembl:antisense 1700065D16Rik RIKEN cDNA 1700065D16 gene